rnacentral:rRNA from 1 species
CGGUCAAAGCUUGAGUAAAGUUAGUGGCGGACGGGUGAGUAACGCGUGGGCAACCUGCCUCAUACUGGGGGAGUAACAGUUGGAAACGACUGUAAUACCGCAUAAGCGCACAGCAUCGCAUGAUGCAGUGUGAAAAACUCCGGUGGUAUGAGAUGGGCCCGCGUCAGAUUAGCUAGUUGGCGGGGUAACGGCCCACCAAGGCGACGAUCUGUAGCCGGACUGAGAGGUCGACGGCCACAUUGGGACUGAGACACGGCCCAAACUCCUACGGGAGGCAGCAGUGGGGGAUAUUGCACAAUGGAGGAAACUCUGAUGCAGCGACGCCGCGUGAGUGAAGAAGUAUUUCGGUAUGUAAAGCUCUAUCAGCAGGGAAGAAAGGCUCGCAAGAGAGAUGACGGUACCUGACUAAGAAGCCCCGGCUAACUACGUGCCAGCCGCCGC